CAUGAGCCAGCAGGAUAGUUCAGUGGUUGUCAACCGGUGAUACGCAUACUCCUAGGGGUACUUAAAAAAGUCAUAG